AACGAACGCUUUCGGUAUGCUUAACACAUGCAAGUUGAACGGAUUAAUUUAGGGCUUGCUCUAAAUUAGUUAGUAGCAGACGGGUGAGUAACACGUGGGAAUCUGCCCAUCAGUACGGAAUAACAUUUAGAAAUAGAUGCUAAUACCGUAUAUUCUCUUCGGAGGAAAGAUUUAUCGCUGAUGGAUGAGUCCGCGUCAGAUUAGGUAGUUGGUAGGGUAAUGGCCUACCAAGCCAACGAUCUGUAGCUGGUCUGAGAGGAUGAUCAGCCACACUGGGACUGAGACACGGCCCAGACUCCUACGGGAGGCAGCAGUGGGGAAUAUUGGACAAUGGGCGAAAGCCUGAUCCAGCAAUACCGAGUGGGUGACGAAGGCCUUAGGGUUGUAAAGCCCUUUUCAGCAGGGAAGAUAAUGACGGUACCUGACCAAGAAAGCCCCGGCUAACUCCGUGCCAGCAGCCGCCGUAAGAC
rnacentral:rRNA from 1 species